CCCUUAGACACUCUAGGCGGCACGCGCGCUACACUGGGUGGAAGAACGUGUUACUGCCAUCGAAAGGUGGGGUGAAUCACGAAUUCUUGCCCGUGAAUGGGAUAGUUUGUUGCAAUUUUCGGACUUGAACUAGGAAUCCCUUGUAAGCAUGCUCAAGAAUAGCGUGUUGAAUACGUCCCUGCCCUUUGUACACACCGCCCGUCGCACCUACCGAUUGAAUGGUUCGGUGAAGAUCUCGGACUUCGAUAUUUAUUCUUUAUUGAGUUUAUAUUGUGGGAAGUUAUCUAAACCUCAUCAUUUAGAGGAAGGUGAAGUCGUAACA
rnacentral:rRNA from 1 species